UUCCAGAAUAGGCGUAGGCCUGAAGGAAAA
rnacentral:piRNA from 1 species